AGUGAACGCUGGCGGUAGGCCUAACACAUGCAAGUCGAACGGCAGCACAGUAAGAGCUCGCUCUUACGGGUGGCGAGUGGCGGACGGGUGAGGAAUACAUCGGAAUCUACUUUUUCGUGGGGGAUAACGUAGGGAAACUUACGCUAAUACCGCAUACGACCUACGGGUGAAAGCAGGGGAUCUUCGGACCUUGCGCGAUUGAAUGAGCCGAUGUCGGAUUAGCUAGUUGGCGGGGUAAAGGCCCACCAAGGCGACGAUCCGUAGCUGGUCUGAGAGGAUGAUCAGCCACACUGGAACUGAGACACGGUCCAGACUCCUACGGGAGGCAGCAGUGGGGAAUAUUGGACAAUUGGCGCAAGCCUGAUCCAGCCAUACCGCGUGGGUGAAGAAGGCCUUCGGGUUGUAAAGCCCUUUGUUGGGAAAGAAAAGCAGCAGGUUAAUACCCCGCUGUUCUGACGGUACCCAAAGAAUAAGCACCGGCUAACUUCGUG
rnacentral:rRNA from 1 species